GGAGCGGUGUCCGAGUGGUCGAUGGUGGCAGUCUUGAAAACUGCUGAGCCGAAAGGCUCCGGGGGUUCGAAUCCCCCCUGCUCCG
rnacentral:tRNA from 1 species